rnacentral:rRNA from 1 species
CUUGACACUGAACAUUGAGCCUUGAUGUGUAGGAUAGGUGGGAGGCUUUGAAGUGUGGACGCCAGUCUGCAUGGAGCCGACCUUGAAAUACCACCCUUUAAUGUUUGAUGUUCUAACGUGGACCCGUAAUCCGGGUUGCGGACAGUGUCUGGUGGGUAGUUUGACUGGGGCGGUCUCCUCCUAAAGAGUAACGGAGGAGCACGAAG